UGGCUGGUGGGUCAUUGGACCCCUUUGAAACCCCAGGUCCCACACCACACUCAGCUGUCCCAGAUCCCAGCUCUGUAAUAUGAUUACAGCCCAGAAUGAUGCUUUUAUCUCAUUUUUCAGAAAAUUAAGGUGUUUAAUCAGGACAUUGAAAAGUUAAUAGAAGGAGAAGAAAUUGUAAAGGAGAAAGAGUCCCGCUUAUAUAACAAAAUCAGACAGGAGUUUAAAAACUGGAUACUCAUACUUGCAGCCAAUACCCAAAAAGAAGAAGAUUGAAGACAUAAAAGCAAAACAAGCGGAAACAGCAGAAAAUCUGACCCGGCUUCAGUUCAGGAUGGAGCAAUUGAUUUAUCGUCAAGAUCAGAUUCACAGCGUGUGGCUCUGAACAGAGUCUGAGAAGAGAUCUUUAACCCAGUGGGAACGCCUCCACAGAAUCUUCAGUCGAAAUCGCCCCUUUUAAAUGAUCCGCCUUCAUUUUCCUCCACUGUGGAAAUUUGGGUCCACCUGAAUGUGUGUUUCUCGGAAACCGGCAAACGUCUCGCCAACCCGAUCCCAUUCAUAAUUCAGUAUUUUAUGCUCCAAGAGAAUGGCGAUUACUUACAGAAAGUCACGAUGCAGAUACUACAGGAAAAACAGUACUAUUCCUGGCUGCUUCAAGAACAGAGUGACACGACAGCCAAGAGGAGAUUCCUUAGGGAGAAAAUUUACCGGCUGGCUCAGGCACGGCGCGCUCUCUACGAAUUCCCCCAGUUAAAGUGGUAAAUCCCAAAAGAACACCAGUGCUGCUGGGUUUUGCUAUGCGCGUGACUGUAAGGGAGUUGGUACAGGAAGUGGUCUCAUUUGGGGCCAGACUUUUCUGUUGCUGUCUGUGUCCAUCUUCACUGUGCUGCACUCAGCACCAGAGUUUAUAUCUGAAGUCCCGCGACCCACAGAGCUGUCACCUCCACCGGGAGGUCUUCCUUGUCCUCUGUAAAGAGGGGGCUCUCCAGCCCUUGGGCCCCAGAGCCCCCAGUUACAGCAUUCUUAAAUACUGCUGGCAUUCUUUGUUAAUUUUUUACCCCUCUGCAUUAGACUAUGAGACCUCAGAAAGGUAAGGUCAGUUCAUAUUCUUUUGUAUUUCCAGAAUCUCGCAUGGUGCCUGGAGCAUAGUAGCCACUUAAUAAAUAUCUCAUUGAACCAAUGAAUGAUGGAGAUUACCUGAGGCUAUGGCUUAAAUCCAGACUUUGGUUGUUUGGAAUGGUGUCCCUUAGCUGGUCACUUUCUGACAAAUUCAGUCAUGCCAUGCCACCUGCUUCCCAUCAUUUGCUGUGAUGGUGUUUCCCAGCGCCCCGGGAGACAAGAGGCUGAGUGAUAUUAUUUUUAAUUUGCAGUGAACUCCAUUGCUGUGUUAAGUCUUAAAGAGAAAUUUAAUAAGGAAAAACAUUUUUUUAAAAAGCAGAGAGCUUCACACCAGUGGUCAUCUCUAGAUUGAAGGAUUAUGGUUAAUUUUAUUUUCUUCUUUGAACUAAGCUAAUGACCUCACAGGAAUUUUAGGAAGGUUAAGUGAAACCAUUUCUACAAACUAUGGGUCCCAAAGCAGGUGUUCAAAAAUGCCAGCAAUUUUUCCCUCCAAAAAAGACCCCUUUUUUUCUUUACCUCUAGGUCUGUCAAGAAGCCCUCAAUUCUAAAGCUCUUCCAGCCAGUUCUUAUGUUUAGUUCUUUGAUACUUUUUGACAAUUUUUGUAUAUGGUGUUAGGUAAGAGUCCUUUGGCGUAUGCAUAUCCAGUUUGCCCAGCACCAUUUUUUGAAACGACUGCUCUUUCCCUAUUGAUCUUGGCACUCUUGUCAAAAUCAUUUGAGCAUAUAUGCAAGGACUUGUUUCUGGGCUCUGUUCUAUUGCAUUGGUCUAUAUGACUGUCUUUAUGACAUUACCACACUGUUUUGAUAAUUGUAGAUUUGUCGUAAGUUUUGAAAUCAGGAAGUGUGAGUCCUCCAGCUUUGUUCUU